rnacentral:rRNA from 1 species
GUAGUUGGUGAGGUAAAGGCUCACCAAGCCGACGACGGGUAGCCGGCCUGAGAGGGUGACCGGCCACACUGGGACUGAGACACGGCCCAGACUCCUACGGGAGGCAGCAGUGGGGAAUAUUGCACAAUGGGCGAAAGCCUGAUGCAGCAACGCCGCGUGAGGGACGAAGGCCUUCGGGUUGUAAACCUCUUUUAGUAGGGAAGAAGCGAAAGUGACGGUACCUGCAGAAAAAGCACCGGCUAACUACGUGCCAGCAGCCGCGGUAAUACGUAGGGUGCAAGCGUUGUCCGGAAUUAUUGGGCGUAAAGAGCUCGUAGGCGGUUUGUCACGUCUGCUGUGAAAACUGGAGGCUCAACCUCCAGCCUGCAGUGGGUACGGGCAGACUAGAGUGCGGUAGGGGAGAUUGGAAUUCCUGGUGUAGCGGUGGAAUGCGCAGAUAUCAGGAGGAACACCGAUGGCGAAGGCAGAUCUCUGGGCCGCUACUGACGCUGAGGAGCGAAAGCAUGGGGAGCGAACAGGAUUAGAUACCCUGGUAGUCCAUGCCGUAAACGUUGGGAACUAGAUGUGGGGACCAUUCCACGGUCUCCGUGUCGCAGCUAACGCAUUAAGUUCCCCGCCUGG